AUUGAACGCUGGCGGCAUGCCUUACACAUGCAAGUCGAACGGCAGCGCGGACUUCGGUCUGGCGGCGAGUGGCGAACGGGUGAGUAAUACAUCGGAACACGUCCUGUAGUGGGGGAUAGCCCGGCGAAAGCCGGAUUAAUACCGCAUACGGUCUACGGAUGAAAGCGGGGGAUCGCAAGACCUCGCGCUAUAGGGUUGGCCGAUGGCUGAUUAGCUAGUUGGUGGGGUAAAGGCCUACCAAGGCGACGAUCAGUAGCUGGUCUGAGAGGACGACGAGCCACACUGGGACUGAGACACGGCACAGACUCCUACGGGAGGCAGCAGGGGGGAAUUUUGGACAAUGGGGGCAACCCCGAUCCAGCAAUGCCGCGUGUGUGAAGAAGGCCUUCGGGUUGUAAAGCACUUUUGUCCGGAAAGAAAACCUCUGCCCUAAUAUGGCGGGGGGAUGACGGUACCGGAAGAAUAAGCACCGGCUAACUACGUGCCAGCCGCCGCUGUAAAAC
rnacentral:rRNA from 1 species